rnacentral:rRNA from 1 species
UACGUAGGGGGCAAGCGUUGUCCGGAUUUAUUGGGCGUAAAGAGCGUGUAGGCGGUUUGGUAGGUCCGUUGUGAAAACUCGAGGCUCAACCUCGAGACGCCGAUGGAAACCAUCAGACUAGAGUCCGGAAGAGGAGAGUGGAAUUCCUGGUGUAGCGGUGAAAUGCGCAGAUAUCAGGAAGAACACCCGUGGCUAAGGCGGCUCACUGGCCCGGUACUGACGCUGAGGCGCGAAAGCGUGGGGAGCAAACAGG